rnacentral:lncRNA from 1 species
GACAUUGCGUGGGGUCCGGUGUUAUCGCUAAACAUUGAUAAGAUUUGUCUUUUAAAAGAUAGUCUGAUGAUUUGUCUUCUCCUAACUCUGCUUCUUUUAUGCAUUCAUCGAUGAUAUCCAUGAAGUAACAUGUAUCUUCUAUUGCAGGUGCUUUUAAGAAUUGGGAAAGAAUGAACUCAAUUUUCUCUUCACCUACUUCGAAGGUGAGUCGUCCUCGUUUUACGUCUAUGAUUGCACCGGCAGUUGCUAAAAACGGUCUUCC